rnacentral:lncRNA from 1 species
CAAGUAUGAGUGACCAAUUUUUUAAUUGUAAAGUAGGUGCAACAUUUAAAAAGAAAUGUUACAGCACUGCAUGACUUGUAAUGCUAACAAUAUUUACAUUAACUGCUUACAUGAAACCAUAGAACUAUAGGAGAGAGAGAGGAAAAAAAAAAAUAUGGACUGAAACAAUACCUAGAACUCACAACCAGCGGUAAGCAACCAGUGACAUCAUGGGCACAGACAUACUUUACAUGAUCUACUGAUGUAAAGUAUACAUGGUGGGGGAAGCACAAACCUAAUUAGCUCGAAAAUACCCAAAAGAAGGCUUGGUAGACACAAACUUAGUCUGAAGAGAAAAAACUAAAGGCUAAAAAAACUUCCACAUGUCAACACACACGAACAUCCACAUAUACGUAGACAUACCCAAUACACACACAUGCGU